rnacentral:rRNA from 1 species
UACAGAGGGUGCAAGCGUUGUUCGGAAUUACUGGGCGUAAAGCGCGUGUAGGCUGCGACGUAAGUCAGGUGUGAAAGCCCUCAGCUUAACUGAGGAAGUGCACUUGAUACUGCGUCGCUUGAGUGUCGGAGGGGGUGGCGGAAUUCCCGGUGUAGAGGUGAAAUUCGUAGAUAUCGGGAGGAACACCUGUGGCGAAAGCGGCUCUCUGGACCACAACUGACGCUGAGGCGCGAAAGCUAGGGGAGCAAACAGG